CGCCUCCGCCCUCUCCAUCACCAACAGUGGCUUCAGCGGCUCAGGUGGCUCUGGUGGCUCCGGUGAUCGCGGCGACCGCGCCCCUCCUGGCGCCCCUACCGGGCGCGGCACCAGUUGCGCCCGUGGCAACGACUCUGAUCGUGGCCGUGGUCGUGGCCGCGGUGGCUCUAGCCGAGGCCGGGGGCGUCCUGACUCCGGCGGCCGCGACUCUCAACAGGCGCUGGCGACUCCGUGGACGGGCUAUUUCGCGCCCUACGGCAUGGCUCUGCCUCCUCCCCGCCCUGGCUGGGCACAUCCCAACGUUGCGGGGGUCCUUGGCCCUCCCCCGGUGUGCACUUUCAGGUCUACCCUGUGAUGUUCUCUGGACCGGUGCCUCACGUGCCUCACGCCACACCCGCGCCUUACAUAUCGGGCCCUUCUUCAUGGGAUCACACAGCCCUCUUCAACACCGCCUCUAGCCAGCACGGCCUCCCCAACACUUGUGCAGAAUGGCUCCUCGACUCCGGCGCCUCCACCCAUGUCACUGGCAACUCUGGAAUUUCCCACCAGGAGACUCAUCAUGACGUCUAGUAGUCCCGGUCCACUUUACCCGUUUCAUGGCAACCCUACCACCAGCGGCACUGCUUUCCAUACUAUGAGUGGUGAUCUAUGGCACAGGCGGCUUGGCCAUCCUGGAAAGGCCUCGUUAGUUUCCCUUUCCAUGACUUUACUUCCCGAUUGUAAUAAUGCUCGUAGCUCCUCUUGUACUGCCAGUCAACUUGGGAGACAGCCACGUUUAUCUUUUCCUUCCGCAAAUAAUGUUACUUCUGCU